UUUUUGCGAAGCGCGUGAGGGAUGGUAGUGGAAAUCCUUUUGGGGAUUUUGCAAAAUCCCCAAAAGAUUGCAACGGACAGCCCGACCCGAG
rfam:Epilithonimonas sp. 36-9 SCNpilot_cont_300_bf_scaffold_381, whole genome shotgun sequence.